UUCCGGUUGAUCCUGCCGGAGGCCAUUGCUAUUGGGAUUCGAUUUAGCCAUGCUAGUCGCACGAGUUCACACUCGUGGCGAAUAGCUCAGUAACACGUGGCCAAACUACCCUUCGGAACACCAUACCCUCGGGAAACUGAGGCUAAUAGUGUAUACCACAUCACCACUGGAAUGAGUGAUGUGCCAAACACUCCGGCGCCGAAGGAUGUGGCUGCGGCCGAUUAGGUAGACGGUGGGGUAACGGCCCACCGUGCCAAUAAUCGGUACGGGUCAUGAGAGUGAGAACCCGGAGACGGAAUCUGAGACAAGAUUCCGGGCCCUACGGGGCGCAGCAGGCGCGAAACCUUUACGCUGCACGACAGUGCGAUAGGGGAAUCCCAAGUGCACAGGCAUAGUGCCUGUGCUUUUCGGUACCCUAAGGCGGUACCAGAAUAAGGGCUGGGCAAGACCGGUGCCAGCCGCCGCGGUAAUACCGGCAGCCCGAGUGAUGGCCGAUCUUAUUGGGCCUAAAGCGUCCGUAGCUGGCCGCGCAAGUCCAUCGGGAAAUCCGCCCGCCCAACGGGCGGACGCCCGGUAGAAACUGCACGGCUUGGGACCGGAAGGCGCGACGGGUACGUCCGGGGUAGGAGUGAAAUCCCGUAAUCCUGGACGGACCGCCGAUGGCGAAAGCACGUCGCGAGAACGGAUCCGACAGUGAGGGACGAAAGCCAGGGUCUCGAACCGGAUU
rnacentral:rRNA from 1 species